GAUGAACGCUGGCGGCGUGCCUAAUACAUGCAAGUCGAGCGAACGGACGAGAAGCUUGCUUCUCUGAUGUUAGCGGCGGACGGGUGAGUAACACGUGGAUAACCUACCUAUAAGACUGGGAUAACUUCGGGAAACCGUAGCUAAUACCGGAUAAUAUUUUGAACCGCAUGGUUCAAAAGUGAAAGACGGUCUUGCUGUCACUUAUAGAUGGAUCCGCGCUGCAAUAGCUAGUUGGUAAGGUAACGGCUUACCAAGGCAACGAUGCAUAGCCGACCUGAGAGGGUGAUCGGCCACACUGGAACUGAGACACGGUCCAGACUCCUACGGGAGGCAGCAGUAGGGAAUCUUCCGCAAUGGGCGAAAGCCUGACGGAGCAACGCCGCGUGAGUGAUGAAGGUCUUCGGAUCGUAAAACUCUGUUAUUAGGGAAGAACAUAUGUGUAAGUAACUGUGCACAUCUUGACAGUACCUAAUCAGAAAGCCACGGCUAACUACGUG
rnacentral:rRNA from 1 species